CCUCGCGGGACACGUGACUAAUAAAUGUAUGUGGGUUAAUCGAAAACGAUUGUAGUUUGUCUUUGGUCAGUCAAAAAAAUAAAGAAGAUUUCAAACAGAAAAAAAAUGAACGCCCGAACAGGGACUUGAACCCUGGACCCUCAGAUUAAAAGUCUGAUGCUCUACCGACUGAGCUAUCCGGGCUCUGACACUCAGCCUGGAAGUUUGGCUCAAAAGCGUUUCUCAGCGCAAGUCUGCACUCUCACGACCGUGGGACAAAAUCGAAGAACUUCAGUCAGCUGUGGACCAAGGCAACUGGAAACUAAAACAUCUACAGGAGCGAAGACGACGAACGCAAGAGGAACUAAAUGAAAUAUCAAAGGAAACCAAGCAGAGGGUGAAUCUGAUCUUGGACAAAAUGGAAGUUGUUGAUGUCUUGCAGCAACUGGGUCUUCUGCUACAAGAGGAAAAAGAUCUUGCCGUCCAGCUGAACAUCCAGAGUUGUCAUAAGAAUACUGAUUUGCUCGAACGCAAUGAGCAAGUUGUAAACAAGGUGAAAAGUCUAACAGCUGAAAUUGCUGAGGUCAAACAGCAGCUGACCAAGGCGAAGGACGUUUCUGUGGCUGCAACACCUUCACUGAAGGAAGAUGCUGUCAACGUAAGGACAACUCGACGUAAAGCCAAGUGAUCGCCAAACAUGUCUUCAUUUCUCAUGUUCAGAUAUAAUAAAGUUGAAUUGUAUUUGGUGAUGUUGCCUCUGUUUUGGGGGGAAUCCCCUCUUUUGAAUGGUGAAAGUCCUGUUGCCUUGUUUGAAUUGCUUGAUCACAGUGACCAUUUUUCUGAAGUCUGUUCUCCUCUGUGUCUUCAGUGGCUGUUGACUACAAUCCAUGAGUUAACUACAGUUGCAGUUAACAUCAGACCUGGUCAGAUGAACUGGUCCAUCCAGUCUGAAAAUUUCACCAACAAUGUAACAUUUCAACUCAAUCAAAAUGUAUGUAAUUUUGCUUUGUUGACGACCAUCAGUGAAACUCCCAGCCUGCGGGGGUGUUUAUCAGCUCUCACUAAAACUAGUUGACCAUUAAUUUGAUAUUAUAUAUUCAAACUUUAGUUUUAGUUUUGAGGUUAUUGGAUCAAUAAUUCAAGUCAUUCUGUUUUAUAUGACUAAUAUUGUAUAGUUUAUUUGGUUUGUUUAGUGUUCCAGGCUGAUAAUACGUAUAAUAAUGAUCACAGACGCAAUUGACAAGUUGAUGGCGAAUGUACCAUUGAAUAAAA